CAAGAGACCAUUAAAGAUAAAGCCGAGGAUAAAGAGACAGCCAGAACCAGUAGGUUCACUUACUUGUCCGUCUCCUGUGACAUAUUUCUCCGGCUCCUCUUGCGAAACUGGACUUUCAAGUCGGUGCGGUACCGUCUGACGGCAGAACCCGAGCUACAGGCUGAGCGCUUUCAGAUUCCAGGGGGCGGCACCAACCUCGAAAACAGUUGAAUUUGUGCUGACCAGCAUCUCGUAGCAUACCAGAGCUUCAGGAGAGUCGGGGGCAGUGAUGACUGUAGUGAUCAUCACCAAGGAGGAGAUGCUGGAGAAGUUAAAAGGUCUGAAGAUGGAUAAAUUACCUGGACCAGAUGGACUACACACCAGGAUCAUGAAAGAGAUUGGUCCUUUCAGUUCUUGAUCAAGAAUCUAGUCCAAGUUUCAAUGAUUGAUUCAUGAAUAUCCCCCAGGUCUUUUUGCAAGUUGUUCCUUGAGGGUAUUUGUGCUGUGAGCCUGCAGGAGCCAGAUUGACCAACUCUCAAGAAAGAAGAUAAGAGUCAGUUUGGUAUGGAAUUACCAUGUCGGUCUAUGGAUAACAAGGGAUGCUGACGAGACUUUUGGCAGGCACUCCCUCAACCAUUGGCUUUGGGGGAAGUACCUGUCUGGAAGUGUGGGAACGAAGUGUGGCCUCCCAAACAAUCAGAGCAGGAACAGGUCCCCAUAGAAUGGGAAUGGGUCACUAGGAGAACACCACAAUGCGCAUUUAAAGGACUUUGCUCGCAAACGUCAUGGAUGUUUGGAAACUGAUGGGACCAGCAUAGCAUAAAUCUGUCAGCAGCAUGGCGGCUUAGAGGUUAUCAAUACUGCCUCACAGCAGCAGGGACCCAGGUUUGAUUCCAGCUUUGGGUGAUUGUCUGUCUGUUUAGAGUUUUGACUUUCUCCCCGCACCUAUGUAGGCUUCUGCUGGGUCCUCCAGUUUCCCUCCACGGCCCACAUAUGUGCAGAUUAGGUAGAUUUGCUGUGGUAAAUGACGGGUUAUAGGGAGAGGGUGGAUGGAUGGGUUUGCAUUGGCUGCUCUUUGGAGGGUCAAUGCAGACUUGAUAGAAUCACUACAGUGUGGAAAGACCUAUAUUUCUUAAAGUGCAGUUUCAAAACUGGAACAAAUAGUGGAUAGCCUCCUAAAAUAUCGGAUGGUCCCAUAAAAUCUAGGCCUGCUGGUCACUUUGUCAGAAUUGCCACCUGCUAGCCUCCUCCAGUCCUAAAACCGUCUCCGAUCUUUGUGCUCUUCUGACUCUGAAUUGCUAGAUCAUCCCUGACUUUAAUUGCUCAACCGUUGGUAGCCAUGCUUUCAGCUGCCUAAAGACUUAGCUCCAGGAUUCUCUCUAUAAAUCUUUCAGCGUCUCAUCGUGGAAGACAGUCCUUAAAACCUACCAUUUGACCAAGUAUUUAGCUUCCAGAUGUAAUAACCACUUCAAUGGUUUGGUGUCAAAUUUGGUUUGAUCAUAUUCCUGUGAAGUGACAUGAUAUGUUACAUUCCAGCCUCCGGUUCGAUUCCACCCUCAGGCAACUGUCUGUGUGGAGUUUGCGUGUUCUCCCUGUGUCUGCGUGGGUUUCCUCUGGGCACUCUGUUUCCUCCCGCAGUCCAAAGAAGUGCAGGGUAGAUGGAUUGAUCGUGCUAAAUUACCCAUAGUGCCCAGGGAUGUUUAGUUUGGGUGAGUUUGACGUGGGAAAGGUAGGGGUAGGGGAAUGGAUCUGGGUGGGAUGCUUUUCGGAGAGACAGUGUGGAUUUGUUGGGCCGAAUGGUCUG